rnacentral:rRNA from 1 species
ACGGAGGAUGCGAGCGUUAUCCGGAUUUAUUGGGUUUAAAGGGUGCGUAGGCGGAUUAAUAAGUCAGUGGUGAAAACCUUCAGCUUAACUGGAGACUUGCCAUUGAUACUGUUAGUCUUGAGUACGGUCAAGGUAGGCGGAAUGUGUAAUGUAGCGGUGAAAUGCUUAGAUAUUACGCAGAACACCGAUUGCGAAGGCAGCUUACUGGGCCAUUACUGACGCUGAUGCACGAAAGCGUGGGGAGCGAACAGGAUUAGAUACCCUGGUAGUCCACGCCGUAAACGAUGAUCACUCGCUGUUAGCGAUACACAGUUAGCGGCUAAGCAAAAGCAUUAAGUGAUCCACCUGGGGAGUACGGCCGCAAGGCUG